GCCAGGGAACUGAAAGAGCAGUUCAUCCCCUGCUUCAGUGAUUUCUUACGAGAUCCAUUGGAGUGGCCCAGCACGUCAGGACCAGAUUCUACUGGCAUCAGACCUGCCUGUAUGUCUAUUAUCACAUGCAGCCUUGCACUUCACAUGGAUAUCCACUGAGUUGCUAGAUGAAUCUUCACUGCACCGUCCCAGCAGAUGAACCCAGCCUAAACUUCUACUACUGCACCUGCACAGCUGCCUUGCCACCACUGCUUGUUUGUCAAGGAAGAAGGGACAGAUCACCAGUGGGUGGUGAGCUGAAGGUAACUUUGGAGGUACUGGGAGGUUGCAGCUGAAAUAUACAACACUGAUACUGUGACAUCCAGAGGAAAAUGAAAUCCAUAUCCUAAGACUGGAACGGCAGUAAGCCACAGUGCCUGGGCCAUCCUGAAACAUGAAGGGAGAGCAUAUCUGGUCCAGCUACAGAAAAUCUCUGGAAGAAAUUCAUUCCUUGGACUUUUAGCACGGUUUUUGCCAUAAAAUAUCAACCCUUAAAUAGUUACUUAAAAUUUUGAAAAUCUCGCUGCCAUUUUUAUGCUUUGAUAUAUGCCUGCCUUUGACUAAACAAAAGGAAGUUUCCAUUGGCCUUUUUUUCUAUUUUUUCUCCUUUGCACUCUGAGCCUGGAAACUUAAACUUUCAAUACUUUCUGCUGUUGCCAUAUCUGAUGAGUAUCACCUGCCUUAGCAUUCGCCACACUGUCAGCAGUUGUUAACCCCCCUUGGCAGAUUUUUGUUUGUUAACUUAGCUUGUCAUUGCCAGCCUUGAGGUUAUGCACACACAGAUGGCUUAUAGGCCUCGCUUUUCCUUUGUGUUUAUUGUAAUUGGAGCUAAAGAAGGAACUUGUAGCAAGCAAUUUAUUUUACAAAUUUUCAUUUUUUCCCCAUUCCUUCUCACUGCCCAUCCACUGAUCUUGAAUCUAGCCAUCAUUUCAUCAUUUCUGAAUAAAUUCAGAGAAAAAAAAAUGCCCAACAAUUGAAUUGUAAACAAGUCACUGGCACACUUUGCUUUGCCAGAUUUGAGUUGUUAGAGAAGCAGCCUGUUCAUAUAUUCCACUGUUACUUGUUUCCUACAUUAACUUUAGGACUGAGUGCCUGGAAUUGUAUGCAAAUGCUGACAUUAAUAGAUGUGAAAAUUUGAUUUUGUGGUAAUUUUUCUACAUGUAAUUAAGCUCUCUUAGCCUUUACUCUUUCCACAAAAAAAUCUUCCUAUUUCCAAAUUUUACUCAUGAGUAGAGUUAUGCUAGGAGCUCUACAGUGUACCUUGAUGAGUGCAAGAAAUAAGAAAAAGAGGAGAACAUCAUGCCUUUAUAAAAAACAUGUCUAAUAUGAAGAGUAAUAUUCACUUAAUUCAAUUUACUAUUCUGAAUGAGCUCCAUGGCUUUCAAAAGAGCACAAAGCAAAUGCAGUUCCUGUGUGAAACUAUCACUUUUGCCUAUGUCUGCCUUGUUUUUGCAGCAUAAUUCCUUUUCUGGUACCAAGAAUAUCUUAAAUCUGACCUGAGUUUUAGGGUGGGCAUGACUAGCAGCAAUUCAUGCACAAAAAGUCACUUGCACUGUUGGCUGAGCCUACUCUUCCUUUUUUUAUUAUUAGCAAAUUAUUUUAGAAUACUGAUCCUAUGCGCAAAUAAAUGAAAGAUACUACAAGCUAGAGAUUUAAAAAAAAAAACAAACAACACAUUAAAGAACACCAAAACCAACAAAGAAAUAAACACACUACCACAAAAAACCCACACACAGGUUUAUCUGCUCCAGCAAGACCAAAAUGCUUGUCAGAGAACUUCCAGAAGGUAAGAGACAUAACUUUAUUAACUAGGAAUCCAUUUCAGAAAAAAGAAAAAAUAAACACCUUCUUUGGCCUUGAAGAUCCCAGUAAAGUGCCCUGUGGGAGGAGAGUCACCACAAGAAGCAGUCACCCUCUUCACAGAAGGCUUACUUUCAGUGGUAAAAAACCAUCUUAUCCAUGUGCAGCUGCCAGUAAUGGCUCUUGUUAUGUGUUAGAACAGCAGCUCUCUCGCAGAGCUACAAAGUGCUGUUAGUGUCUUCUUUCCCCCUCCUAACAUAUCAAUGCACAUGUAGCAUAAUUCAUGGACUUGAUCCAAUAAAACUGAGAAAAUAUUUCAUGAUUUCCCAUA